rnacentral:rRNA from 1 species
GAGUUUGAUCAUGGCUCAGGACGAACGCUGGCGGCGCGCCUAACACAUGCAAGUCGAACGGAGAGAGCUGGAAGCUUGCUUCUGGCGAUCUUAGUGGCGGACGGGUGAGUAACACGUGAGUAACCUGCCUUUCAGAGGGGGAUAACGUUUGGAAACGAACGCUAAUACCGCAUAACGUAUCGGGAUCGCAUGGUCCUGAUACCAAAGGAGCAAUCCGCUGAGAGAUGGGCUCGCGUCUGAUUAGAUAGUUGGCGGGGUAACGGCCCACCAAGUCGACGAUCAGUAGCCGGACUGAGAGGUUGAACGGCCACAUUGGGACUGAGACAACGGCCCAGACUCCUACGGGAGGCAGCAGUGGGGGAUAUUGCACAAUGGGGGGAAACCCUGAUGCAGCGACGCCGCGUGAGGGAAG